UAUGUGUAAUUAUAUGUACCUGAGCUGUAUUAAGUACCACAUUCUUGCAGUCAGGAAGGAUGCUGACAGACCAGGCGGGAAGCCUGUACAUCUUCCCAUUGAAGGUGACGGUUUUAUCAGAUUGACCAUCUAUGUUGGCAAGGAAUGCUGCGCAAACUGAACCAACUUUGUAUACUGCUGCCUGAAGAUAGAAGAAUGCAGAGAUUGUUUUAUACGGACCAGACAUUGAAGCAGUGUCGAAGGAACCAUACAUGCAUGUCGAAGGAACCAUACAUGCAUGUCGAAGGAGGUUCACGAGCUCAAAAUGAAAGCAGAGCUGCCGAGGCAAACCGGAAGCUACUUACCGUACUCGUCGAUGGGGGCAUCGUAGUCGUAACUGGUGGCGAUGAAGGGCCCCCCCGAGCUGCGGUCGAGGUUGGUCCCUCCAUGGUACUGCAACGGCAAGAUUCAGAGUUAGAAAUGCUGCAUCAGUAGUGCAGGCCCGACUGGCAGCAUCAAUGGGCACGCACGACAGCUGUCAUGGCAAAACGGGAGGGCAAAUAUUUCUUCUGAUCAGUUUCAAGUUUCAGUUUGUAAGACGUUUUGGUUGUUUUUAUAUACUGAACAUAUACAAAUCUAGUUAUCUAGACAUAGUAUAUAUAUUUAAGUGGAUAGCUAGCUAUGUACAUAGAAAAGUUGAAAUGUCUUAAUAGUUCAUAGAA